AAGGAAGAUCACGAGUGAAUGGGUGUGUUUUCUUCAACUUCGUCCAGUCAAGAAAUUUUUUUCCAAGGCCACAAUCUACACCCCCAAACUGAGACAAACACAUUGUAUCAGAAAGAGAGUUGAGGAACAAAAGCUCCAAGACUCAAAUAACUACUAGAAACUUCAGAACAGACACCCCACUGACAUCAUCCUUUAAAUGUAGGAAGGAGCUUCAUACUCGUCUUGCAACCCAGGAUAUGGACUCGCCUUCCCUGUUUGCUUACCUUCCUAUGACCUGCCAUUUCUAGCCUUCUGUCUCUGCCAAAAAACAAAGUUUUGUUCUGACUACAUGAAAGAACAUUGCUGGAGUCUGCGGCUGUUUGGAAGAAUAUCUCCAAGUGUGAGGCUGAACGUCUUCAAUUAAUUUUCAAAGAACGUUUUCUUCCAUGGAGAUCUGUUUGGGAUUUUGUGACUCAAAGCAUUGUGUUUUAAGCCUCGUUUCAAACUGAGCAUCCUUCUUUAAUUUUUCUCAUCACACAGAGUGUACGCUAGUAGGCAGCUCCCUGGGACCUGUGUCUGAUCACAGCCCACAUUCAGCGGGAGGGACCUUCCAAGGCAAGAUCUAAAGUGGCGAUAGCACAGAAAGAAACAGAAGCCUUCUGAGAAGCUCCUUUUGUCUUUCAUAAGUGAAGUGGAAGAACCAGGACUGGACAGAUGGAGAAAUUGAACUGUGAUGCAAUUGAAACAAAGGCCUCAGCUGAUCCCUGGGGGAGCACUGGAGCAGGAAGGCCCCUUCAGAGUUAUCCUGAAUUGAGGCAAAGAGGCCGGUCCUUUGAACUUUCCUGGCCCCAACAUCAGUCAGUCAUUGAAUGCAGGCUGCCCCUAGGGAGAAGGCACAGACUUAGGCAAGGCAGCUCCCUUUGGCAGAAGACAAAGCCCAGAGAAAGAGGGAACUCCUGGAGACAAAACUGGCUGUCUUUUUCGGCAACCAACACUCCUAGCUUUCAACAGACAGAAUGAGCCCAUAAAAGUGGGGCGGGU
rnacentral:lncRNA from 1 species